GAGACUGCAGUGGUACACAGCCCCAGGAUGCUCAUUCAGGGGCCAUGAACUGAGGUGCUGCAGUGGCCUGCAACUGAAGAAUGGAUUGACCCUGUAGUUCCUAAAGAAAUGCUUCCUGAAAGAAAGUUCUAAAAAUAUUAGAAAGUAUAUAAAUCAACCUUCUGGACCCAAAGAUGGUCUGGACAUGGAAAAAGAUAAAGUUCUCUUACUAAACAUUUCAAGAAGCGAUGCUGAGAGCUGCAAUGUCAGCUCAAUCAAAGCUCUGAUAUUUGCUGCUAUCUCCAUGCAUGUUUACAGCAGCUGACAUAUGAAAAGCCAGAGAAUAAUUCGAGUUUGCAAGCUAUGAGACAAGUCCAUUUUGGAUCUGAA